rnacentral:tmRNA from 1 species
GGGAUUGCAAGGCAUAGACAAGAAGCCACUUUUCUUUUAUGCAUAUCGAGCCAGCAUGUAGCUCGCAAAUCUUAGAUGUAAAAUCCAAUUGCAAAAACAUUUGGUAAAAUAAAGUCUCCUUACUUUGCGUUUGGAAACUUUGUUCCUGCAUUCGCCUAGUCUUAGGUCAAUCAGGUGUCCACCUCUGAUACUCAAAUAAGAGAUCUGGAUAUAAUACAUUUGAGCUCGCUUCUAGCUUCGUCUUGGGCUAGAGGUUAAAUAAAGAGAAUAAGAAUUUAAUUAUUUUGUUUGUCUAUCAGAUUAAAUUACGAAAAUUUUAAAACAAACUAAAUAUGUAGAUUUAAAAGAAAUUACUUUUUGCACGGGAGUUCAAUUCUCCCCAAUUCCACAC